UACAGAGGGUGCUAGCGUUGUCCGGAAUUAUUGGGCGUAAAGGGCUCGUAGGCGGUUUGUCGCGUCGGGAGUGAAAACUCAGGGCUUAACCCUGAGCCUGCUUCCGAUACGGGCAGACUAGAGGUAUGCAGGGGAGAACGGAAUUCCUGGUGUAGCGGUGAAAUGCGCAGAUAUCAGGAGGAACACCGGUGGCGAAGGCGGUUCUCUGGGCAUUACCUGACGCUGAGGAGCGAAAGUGUGGGGAGCGAACAGG
rnacentral:rRNA from 1 species